AUGUGGUCUUUAUGGCUUCAUUUCCUAAAUGAGACAAGGAGAGAGGGAACACAGAGGAUGGGGACCAGGACACAAACAGAUGCCCAACUCCCCAGUCAUUCAUGUUUUUGUCUUCUUAAUGACACUAGAUUGAUUUUGUAUACACACACAUUAUUCAUGUAUAUUCAUCUAACAAUCCUGGGAAGCAGAGGUUACAGGAUCUGCUCAGAUUCACAUAGUCUGAGGCCAUAUUUGACUUCCCUUCUUCCUGACUCCAAGCUUAACACUCUAGCCACCUAGUUGCGUUGGAGGAAGGCAGCAUCCCAUAACCGCCAGCCUGUUUGUCAGACACCAUCAUGAUAAACUUGCUAGCCUGCCUAGAGCAUUGAAUGUGUGCAGGGGAGGAGAGGGUAGUCAGCCUGCAAAGGGAGGCUUGAGAACUAAACAGAACUGUCUUAUCUUGGAGGCAAGCACGGCCAGUGAAACUUCUUGAGCAGCAGAAUGGCAGGGUCAGGGCUUUCCGAGUGAAUGUCAAUUUGGAUGCUGUGUGAGUGGGGUUUUGUAAAUGGAAUUAUGGCUGUUUGGUUGCCUUUUAUUCGUGGGUGGGUAGGCCGGAGAGGCUAAGGGCCAUUCCUUUCACCACAACUUUUGGUUAACUGAAAGCCUGUCUUUGGUUCAUAGGGAUCUUUCCUGACUAAAGCCCAUCUAUCCCACUGUAAGUGAAAACAUGCCUUAGCUAAGAAGCCAGAGGAAGCACCCCAACUUCCUCUGACUUCCCGGUGGGAGAUGAGGGAACACUGAGAGCUAACAAGGUCACAGAGGUACAACAGAUUGACCGGGAGCCGCGACAUGCACACUUUCUUUCAUCCUUGCCUACUAGAAACCCUUUUUUGAACUUGGAAGCUACACAGUGGGGGGGGAGGUCACAGCUGUGACCUGGAAGUGGAAGUGGAAGUUCUAAGCGUUCCUAGGAGACUGUUGCGCAGACGCACUCCAGUUUCCGGUCUCUCCUCAGAGGUGGUCGACGCCAUUAGGGUGGUGGCUGCCGCAGAUUUGGGUCUGGUCCUUGUCGCUGCGGGUGGUCUCGGGCAGAGUGGUGAGGUUGACUCAGCCGAGGUGGGAAGGUGGGGGAGAUAGAGGAGGCCUAUAGGGGCAACUGCCACCGAUUUUUGCCUUGUUGGGGGGAGGCAGGGGAGGCUGGUGAGGGAAGCUGCCAUCGAUUUGCGCCCUCCCUGAGGGGGGAGGGGAGGUCGGGGAAGCCCGUGGGGGUGAGGUUGCCACAGAUUUUUGCCUUGAGGAG
rnacentral:lncRNA from 1 species